rnacentral:lncRNA from 1 species
AACAAAUUCACACCUCUUGCAACGGCAUUUUUGACCCAUAAGAGUCCUUAAAGUAGCUCUACCCUUCCCAUUGGAGAAUACAAUUUUUCCCUCUAGGAGCAUACUGAGCUCACUGUUGCCAAGGAAAUUGAGAGAACAGAGCACAAUCAUUUCCAUUUUAUUGUCUAUUGUCCAGAUGAAUAAGAUAAAAUAUAGCUUAUGGAUCAUUUGUGUGCUAGUGUUAUUCUCUUUUUUCAGAUUCUCACCUGUAAGCUUGAAUUAUGUCUACAUCAUGCUUGGGAAAUGUCCAUAUAUUCUAAGCUUGAAACUGCAGUGAUGAGGACGUCACCACUUCCAGAGAGAACACUUUACUACCAGGCAACUUGAGUACAAUAGGCAGCCACAAAUAUCAUCCUUGCUAGCCAGGAAUGACAAGGAGCAAGCCACAUGAGGAGUCAGAAAAGAUUAUUCCAGGCAGGUAA